rnacentral:rRNA from 1 species
GGAAAUCUCACCAGGCCCGGACACUGGAAGGAUUGACAGAUUGAUAGCUCUUUCUUCAGUGGGUGGUGGUGCAUGGCCGUUCUUAGUUGGUUGAGUGAUUUGUCUUGUUAAUUCCGAUAACGAACGAGACUCUGUCCUGCUAAAUAGUGACGCGGUUCAUCGAACCGUGGGCCACUUCUUAGAGGGACUAUCGGAUUCAAACCGAUGGAAGUGUGAGGCAAUAA